rnacentral:lncRNA from 1 species
GACCUUAUUGAAGCUAUGGAGACAUAAUUUUAUGUUCUUAAUAUUUUUAAAUGGCGUAACACCAACAGCCACCACAAAAGACAAAGUGUGCAGUGUAAGAUUUCAUGCAUAAGGUAAAAGGAAAGACCAUGUACCUUCUCCUGCCAAUGAAUCAUCUCUGUGGUGACCUAACCUGGCAAUGCCAUCCUCAGACACUCUGACCUUCCAUGUGGAAACAGAUUGUGAAGGCCCACCAUGCUCCAGCCCUCAGCACUGUGACAUGCACACUGAUGCACACAUUUUA